rnacentral:tRNA from 1 species
CCAUUCGUAGCUUAGUGAAGAAAGUGUUGGCGCGUAAAGCCGAAGGUCCCGAGUUCGAAUCCCAGCGAGUGUG